ACAGGAUUAGAUACCCUGGUAGUCCACGCCGUAAACGAUGUCGACUUGGAGGCUGUUCCCUUGAGGAGUGGCUUCCGGAGCUAACGCGUUAAGUCGACCGCCUGGGGAGUACGGCCGCAAGGUUAAAACUCAAAUGAAUUGACGGGGGCCCGCACAAGCGGUGGAGCAUGUGGUUUAAUUCGAUGCAACGCGAAGAACCUUACCUGGCCUUGACAUCCACGGAACUUGGCAGAGAUGCCUUGGUGCCUUCGGGAACCGUGAGACAGGUGCUGCAUGGCUGUCGUCAGCUCGUGUUGUGAAAUGUUGGGUUAAGUCCCGCAACGAGCGCAGCCCUUAUCCUUUGUUGCCAUCGAUUCGGUCGGGAACUCAAAGGAGACUGCCGGUGAUAAACCGGAGGAAGGUGGGGAUGACGUCAAGUCAUCAUGGCCCUUACGGCCAGGGCUACACACGUGCUACAAUGGCGCAUACAAAGAGAAGCGACCUCGCGAGAGCAAGCGGACCUCAUAAAGUGCGUCGUAGUCCGGAUCGGAGUCUGCAACUCGACUCCGUGAAGUCGGAAUCGCUAGUAAUCGUGGAUCAGAACGCCACGGUGAAUACGUUCCCGGGCCUUGUACACACCGCCCGUCACACCAUGGGAGUGGGUUGCAAAAGAAGUAGGUAGCUUAACCUUCGGGAGGGCGCUUACCACUUUGUGAUUCAUGACUGGGGUGAAGUCGUAACAAGGUAAC
rnacentral:rRNA from 1 species